rnacentral:rRNA from 1 species
GGACUACCGGGGUAUCUAAUCCUGUUCGCUCCCCACGCUUUCGCUCCUCAGCGUCAGUAACGGCCCAGAGACCCGCCUUCGCCACCGGUGUUCCUCCUGAUAUCUGCGCAUUCCACCGCUACACCAGGAAUUCCAGUCUCCCCUACCGCACUCUAGCCUGCCCGUACCGGAUGCAAGCCCGCAGUUAAGCUGCGGGUUUUCACAUCCGACGCGACAAGCCGCCUACGAGCUCUUUACGCCCAAUAAAUCCGGACAACGCUCGCGCCCUACGUAUUACCGCGGCUGCUGGCAC